rnacentral:rRNA from 1 species
GUGUCAGCAGCCGCGGUAAUACGUAGGGUGCGAGCGUUAAUCGGAAUUACUGGGCGUAAAGCGUGCGCAGGCGGUUGUGCAAGACAGAUGUGAAAUCCCCGGGCUUAACCUGGGAAUUGCAUUUGUGACUGCACGGCUAGAGUGUGUCAGAGGGGGGUAGAAUUCCACGUGUAGCAGUGAAAUGCGUAGAUAUGUGGAGGAAUACCGAUGGCGAAGGCAGCCCCCUGGGAUAACACUGACGCUCAGGCACGAAAGCGUGGGGAGCAAACAGGAUUAGAUACCCUGGUAGUCCACGCCCUAAACGAUGUCUACUAGUUGUCGGGUCUUAAUUGACUUGGUAACGCAGCUAACGCGUGAAGUAGACCGCCUGGGGAGUACGGUCGCAAGAUUAAAACUCAAAGGAAUUGGCGGGG